AUUGAACGCUGGCGGCAUGCCUUACACAUGCAAGUCGAACGGUAACAGGUCUUCGGAUGCUGACGAGUGGCGAACGGGUGAGUAAUACAUCGGAACGUGCCCAGACGUGGGGGAUAACGAGGCGAAAGCUUUGCUAAUACCGCAUACGAUCUAAGGAUGAAAGCAGGGGACCGCAAGGCCUUGCGCGUUUGGAGCGGCCGAUGGCAGAUUAGGUAGUUGGUGGGAUAAAAGCUUACCAAGCCGACGAUCUGUAGCUGGUCUGAGAGGACGACCAGCCACACUGGGACUGAGACACGGCCCAGACUCCUACGGGAGGCAGCAGUGGGGAAUUUUGGACAAUGGGCGAAAGCCUGAUCCAGCAAUGCCGCGUGCAGGAUGAAGGCCUUCGGGUUGUAAACUGCUUUUGUACGGAACGAAAAGGCUCUGGCUAAUACCUGGGGCACAUGACGGUACCGUAAGAAUAAGCACCGGCCAACUACGUG
rnacentral:rRNA from 1 species